GCCUCAAUAGCUCAGUUGGGAGAGCGCUACACUGAAGCACCUCAAUGUAUAGGUCCCCCGUUCAAACCGGGGUUGGGGCA